GAUGAACGCUGGCGGCGUGCCUAAUACAUGCAAGUCGAGCGAACAGAUGAGGAGCUUGCUCCUCUGACGUUAGCGGCGGACGGGUGAGUAACACGUGGAUAACCUACCUAUAAGACUGGGAUAACUUCGGGAAACCGGAGCUAAUACCGGAUAAUAUAUUGAACCGCAUGGUUCAAUAGUGAAAGACGGUUUUGCUGUCACUUAUAGAUGGUUCCGCGCCGCAUUAGCUAGUUGGUAAGGUAACGGCUUACCAAGGCAACGAUGCGUAGCCGACCUGAGAGGGGGAUCGGCCACACGGGAACUGAGACACGGCCCAGACUCCUACGGGAGGCAGCAGUAGGGAAUCUUCCGCAAUGGGCGAAAGCCUGACGGAGCAACGCCGGGUGAGUGAUGAAGGUCUUCGGAUCGUAAAACUCUGUUAUGAGGGAAGAACAAAUGUGUAAGUAACUAUGCACGUCUUGAGGGUACCUAAUCAGAAAGCCACGGCUAACUACGU
rnacentral:rRNA from 1 species